UAAGGAAUAUUGGACAAUGGACGCAAGUCUGAUCCAGCCAUGCCGCGUGAAGGAUGAAUGCCCUCUGGGUUGUAAACUUCUUUUAUAGGGGAAGAAAGAUACUUUUUUUAAGGUAGUUGACGGUACCCUAUGAAUAAGCACCGGCUAACUCCGUGCCAGCAGCCGCGGUAAUACGGAGGGUGCAAGCGUUAUCCGGAUUUACUGGGUUUAAAGGGUGCGUAGGCGGGCAUGUAAGUCAGUGGUGAAAUACCGGAGCUUAACUUCGGAACUGCCAUUGAUACUGCAAGCCUAGAGUAUGGAAGAGAGUGAUGGAAUAUCUGGUGUAGCAGUGAAAUGCGUAGAUAUCAGAUAGAACACCGAUGGCGAAGGCAGUCACUUGGUCCAUUACUGACGCUAAAGCACGAAAGCGUGGGUAGCAAACA
rnacentral:rRNA from 1 species